GAAGUUAUCUUGCGUUUGAUUAUUCAAUAUAACUUUCGACCCUCAUUGGUGACGUUUCUGGAACGUCCUUGCUUGGAUUUUCUCAUCACUGUUCGGAGCUAGAAAUCAAGCUUGAUAGAGCCAUGGACAUUGAAGUGGUUGGUGAUGAUCUUGAUGGAGAAGACAGAUAGGGCUUGGGAGGAGCUAGCAAGCAGUCAACACUGCCUCUAAGCAUAUCCACCACCUCACUCAUUGUUGGCCUAAUUGAAGGAUUAGUCUGUAUGCACCACAAGCUCACUAUUAUCAUCUUCCUAGCUUUCUCUCUGUCUCCUUCGCUUGUGACAUUCUGCAGUCCGAACUCUUCUUGAAGUUCAAGACGCUUGUGAAUCCAAUGCGGGAAGUAUAUUUCACUGGUUCUCUCUGCUUCGGUUACUAUAUUUUUCCUCCCACCAACCAUUUCGAGCGCUGUCAUCCCAAAGCUAUACACAUCUGAUUUUUGGGAUAUUCCUCCGAUGUUCCUGCAAAAUACUUCUGGAGCAAUAAACCCCGCAGUCCCUCGCGCGCCGAGUAGUGAGAUCGUGCUCUCCUCUCGAUGGCAUAUCUUCGCAAGGCCAAAGUCGGAAAUCUUGGGGCAAUAGUUUUCAUCGAGAAGGAUGUUGUGCGGCUUUAUGUCAAAGUGUAAUAUUCUCGAGUUGCAGCCUUGGUGCAAGUAUUCGAGCCCUUGAGCUAUGCCUAGGGAGAUUCGGUACAAGGUGUCCCAUCCGAGGUGGCGGCAACCUAACUUGCUGUAGUUCUCUUCGUAUAUGAGUUUCUCCAGAGAUCCAUUGGGCAUGUACUCAUAGACAAGAGCCCUUUUGGUUUUGUGAAAGCAGAAACCUAGCAGAGUAACGAUGUUGACAUGGGAAGUUCUGCUCAUGCUCUUUACCUCAUUGAUGAAGUCUUCACCAUCUCCUUUCAGCUUGCUUAGGAUUUUCACUGCCACGAGAUGACCAUUCGGGAGCUUCCCUUUGUACACACAACCAUAGCCUCCUUGGCCUAGUUUUUCUUUGAAUGAGUUGGUCAUUCUCUUAAUGUCAGCAUAUGAAUAUCUUCUCGUUGCUAAAAUUCCACGAUUUUCGAAAAUGACCUCAAA